AACACAAAUUCAGUGUUUGUUGUUUCUUUCAUGUUUGGUUUGACAGAUCCAGUGUUUCCCUAGUUUGUUGAAUAGGAGAAUUGUCCGUGAUGAGUUUUUCAGAUCCUUCCUGUGCCUUCAUGUUGAAAGCUCCAGAGAGAUACUGAUUCUUGGCAAUUUCACUGCCUGCAGUGGCUUGCGUGAGGAUUUGAGGCAUUGUGGAAAGGAAACUUCUUGGCUAGAUACACCACGCUCCAAAUUUUAUCUUGUGCAGACACCAAUAAAUACCUCCAAAUAAUGAUAUCAGUGGUCUGAAAUAUGUCAGCUGUCUAGGAAGGCAGCUUCUGCUCCCAAGAGAUUAAAAGGAUUUGUGCUGAACUGGAAUCCUGUCCUGGAUCCGAGCCACAUCUCUGGGCAGGUGCUCCUGAAAGAGAGGCUCCCAAGGAAAACUGUUGUCCGUACCGUAAGAAUACAUAUACUGCUGAGGUAUCAGCUGGAGGAUAUUCAGAUCAUGACUUUGAGAAAACUGAACUUGAUUUUGGGAAUCAUGGGAAGUCUGUGGUGAAUCAGUGGCCACGUCUGUUCCAGCCUGGUUCACCAUCACUUGCUUCUCAAGGUAGUGUGCCAAGUAUUCAGUUCAGAAAGAUGUGCCAUGUCUUUCAGCAAAGAAAAGUAAAUAACAGAAAGAAAAAAUAAUGUCUUUUAUCUCACCUGUUUUGG
rnacentral:lncRNA from 1 species